GCCCAUGUGGUAACAUCUGGGGAACCAUUGGAGUACCAGUGAGCAUACUACCUGAGGACACAAACCUACCUAUUUCAGUAGAUUGGUUAGACUAUGAUGGCAUACUUGUCAAUUCUAUUGAGGCAAGACCAGUAUUCUCAAGUCUUCUGCAUGAGCCUUUCAAAUAUAUACCUAUCAUUUGGACUGUGCAUGAAUAUUCUCUUGCACAUCGUGCUAAAGAAUAUAAUGUGAGUGGAAUGAUUCAGCUCAUAAAAGCUUGGAAAGAUGUAUUCAGCAGGACAAAUGUUAUAGUUUUCCCAAAC